AGGAUGAACGCUGGCGGCGUGCCUAAUACAUGCAAGUCGAGCGAACAGACGAGGAGCUUGCUCCUUUGACGUUAGCGGCGGACGGGUGAGUAACACGUGGGUAACCUACCUAUAAGACUGGGAUAACUUCGGGAAACCGGAGCUAAUACCGGAUAAUAUUUCGAACCGCAUGGUUCGAUAGUGAAAGAUGGCUUUGCUAUCACUUAUAGAUGGACCUGCGCCGUAUUAGCUAGUUGGUAAGGUAACGGCUUACCAAGGCAACGAUACGUAGCCGACCUGAGAGGGUGAUCGGCCACACUGGAACUGAGACACGGUCCAGACUCCUACGGGAGGCAGCAGUAGGGAAUCUUCCGCAAUGGGCGAAAGCCUGACGGAGCAACGCCGCGUGAGUGAUGAAGGUCUUCGGAUCGUAAAACUCUGUUAUUAGGGAAGAACAAACGUGUAAGUAACUGUGCACGUCUUUGACGGUACCUAAUCAGAAAGCCACGGCUAACUACGUGCCAGCAGCCGCGGUUAAUACGUAGGUGGCAAGCGUUAUCCGGGAAUUAUUGGGCGUAAAGCGCGCGUAGGCGGUUUAAGUCUGAUGUGAAAAGCCCACGGCUCAACCGUGGAGGGUCAUUGGAAACUGGAAAACUUGAGUGCAGAAGAGGAAAGUGGAAUUCCAUGUGUAGCGGUGAAAUGCGCAGAGAUAUGGAGGAACACCAGUGGCGAAGGCGACUUUUCUGGUCUGUAACUGAACGCUGAUGUGCGAAAAGCGUGGGGGAUCAAACAGGAUUAGAUACCCUGGUAGUCCACGCCGUAAAACGAUG
rnacentral:rRNA from 1 species